rnacentral:rRNA from 1 species
GCCAGGAGGUUGGCUUGGAGGCAGCCAUCCUUUAAAAAGUGCGUAACAGCUUACUGGCCGAAUGUGAUCCUGCGCGGACAAUGUAAGGGGGCUUAAGCCGUGUCCCGAAGCCGUGGGUGCUUCCGAUAUUUUCGGGGGCGCGGUAGGGGAGCGUCCGGUGUGCCGUGAAGGCAGACCGUGAGGACUGCUGGAGCGCACUGGAGUGCGAAUGCAGGCAUAAGUAGCGAGAACACGGGUGAGAAUCCCGUGCGCCGAAAGCCUAAGGUUUCCCCCGCAACGCUCGUCGUCGGGGGGUUAGGCGAGACCUAAGGUGAGGCCGGAAGGCGUAGCCGAUGGGAAGACGGUUGAUAUUCCGUCCCCGGAUGAAGGGAGACCAAGGGGGACGCUUCUUGAAGUUCCAUCCCACACCGUUGGUUGUUGUGGGCGCUUAGAGUGCGUGGCGCGGCGAAAACGCGCAGGAUCGCGCUUUAGGCGGGAAGGGAUCGCUUCGGCGUGAACGAACUGGAACGGAGGGGAGCCGAGAAAAGCCCUGACGGUCGUUGAACUUCAUCCGCUCGUACCGCAAACCGCCACAGGUAGGCGAGUAGAGGAUACUCAGGCGCGCGAGAGAACUCCCGCCAAGGAACUAGGCAAACGGGCCCCGUAACUUCGGGACAAGGGGCGCCUUGGUGAUGAGCCGAGGCCGCAGCGAAGCACCCCAGGCGACUGUUUACCAAAAACACAGGUCUCUGCUAAGGCGAAAGCCGAUGUAUAGGGGCUGACGCGUGCCCAAUGCCCGUAGGUUAACAGGAGGGGUCAGGGGGCAACCCCGAAGCCCCAAAUGGAAGCCCGGGUGAAUGGCGGCCGUAACUCUAACGGUCCUAAGGUAGCGAAAUGCCUUGUCGGCUAAAUACCGACCCGCAUGAAACGCGUAACGACUUGGGGACUGUCUCGGCGAGAUGCUCGGUGAAAUUGUAGUACCUGUGAAGAUGCAGGUUACGCGCAGUAGGACGGAAAGACCCCGUGGAGCUUUACUACACCUUGUGAUGGCGUUUUGGGUUGUCUUGUAGAGCGUAGGUGGGAGCUUCGGCGCCCAUGGAACACCACCCUGGACCAUCUGAAACGCUAACCCGAACCGUCAUCCGGUUCGGAGACAGUCACAGGCGGGUAGUUUGACUGGGGCGGUCGCCUCCUAAAAGGUAACGGAGGCGUCCAAAGGUUCCCUCAGUGUGGUUGGAAAUCACACGGAGAGCAUAAGGGUAGAGAGGGAGCUUAACUGUGAGAGAGACUUCUCGAGCAGAUGCGAAAGCAGGGCCUAGUGACCCUCUGGCGCUGAGUGGAAGGGCCAGGGUUCAUCGGAUAAAAGCUACCCCGGGGAUAACAGGCUUAUCUUGCCCAAGCGCUCACAGCGACGGCAAGGUUUGGCACCUCGAUGUCGGCUCGUCGCAUCCUGGGGCUGGAUUAGGUCCCAAGGGUUAGGCUGUUCGCCUAUUAAAGCGGUACGCGAGCUGGGUUCAGAACGUCGUGAGACAGUUCGGUCCCUAUCCGCGGUGGGCGCAGGAGGUCUGAGGGGGGCUGUCCCUAGUACGAGAGGACCGGGACGGACCGACCUCUGGUGUACCAGUUGUCCCGCCAGGGGCAGACGCUGGGUAGCUAUGUCGGGUCGUGAUAAGCGCUGAAAGCAUCUAAGUGCGAAGCACGCCCCAAGAUGAGACCUCCCACGGGGUAACCCGGUAAGGACCCCGGAAGAUAACCGGGUGGAUAGGCCGCAGGUGUAAGCACGGUAACGUGUUCAGCCUAGCGGUACUAAUAGUCCGAGGGCUUGACCAU